AUGGGGUAUACUGAUUUCAAUUUUCAGUCAGAUUAUAAUGAUAGCAGAAGUGUGUCAGGCUACGUAUUUUACUUUAAAUAGAGAUGUUGUUUGCUGAAAGAGUUUCAAGCAACAUACUGUGGCCGAUUAUGUAUGCGAAGUAGAAUACUGUAUCGGAUGCUGCAACAUAUUCUGUGCCGCUAUCAUCUGGUGUGAGAGAUUGUGAACCGAGGUGACGU
rnacentral:lncRNA from 1 species